GAAAUGUUUUUAAACAUAAAUGUAGGUUGGUUUGGUUCGAGAGGCUUUGUUUUUUCACCACUUAGCAUAGAAACUAUGGUCGCCAUGGUUGGCCUAUCAGCAACAUGAUCUUGCACUCAAAGAAGUCCGAUAUUUACACAUCUACUUACUUUCGAUGAGGAAAAUGAGCCUGCCAAUGCUUCAUCUACCAUUUGUACACCCUUGCUUGCAAACCAACAUUGCCAUGCAU
rnacentral:misc_RNA from 1 species